rnacentral:lncRNA from 1 species
UAUUUAAUCUCAACCAAUUAGCAUCUUAAUAUUAUGAACAAUACUACAUAUAUAUAUAUAUAUACUGCAAACUUGAUAUAAAUUAUAUAUCUCACCCUAAAUAUAAGUAAGUGUUACUGUAAUAAAAGUGUCAUGGCACUUAAUGUAUCCACUCAAGAGGUGCGAAACGCAUGAGUAGUUCGGCGAAUCGGAAACAAAUAUAAAAUUUUUAAAAUUUGGAUGAUUACUCAUAAACAGAUAAAAAAUAAGAUAAUUUUAGUACAUUUAAUUCUAAUUAUAAAUAAAAUACAUGUUUUAUUCUAAGCAAGCGUUUUUCUAAUAAAAGUGUCACGCCACUUUGCAUAUAUAUAUAUGCUAAAGAUGUGGGAACCUCGUGAGUGGUUCAAUGAACCGACAAAAAUAAAAAAAAAAAAUAAAUUUUAAAUAGCUAUUUAUAUUUAAAUAAUAGUAAAUUUAGAAUUUUUUAGCUAAAAAUAUAGAAAAUUAUUUUAUAAAUAUUUUUUUUUCAUUUUUUUUCUCCUAACUUUAAAUAACUUUAAAAACCUACCUUUUACUCCCCACGAUAUCAGUGGAGAUAACAAAAUGAUAAAAUUAUUCUCAUUUUUCCUGUAAAUUUUUUUUUUUGUAUAUUUCUGUUAUUUUGAAGAAUAUUUCCGGUAUAAAUUAUAUGAAAUGGACGAAAUAAUGAUAGAACCAUGACAGAGGGGGGGCUAAAUGCAACACCUUGAAAUGUUGAGAGCUAAAUAUGAAUUUUUGAAUGUUAGAGAAGGAAAAUAAAAAAUUAGAUAUUUAUAAUUUUUUUUUUCUAUUUUGACAUAU